GCACCUGGUGGGCAGCUGUUGCUAGCCAAUGGCUCGACGAGCAUACCGGUUCCCACUUAUUUAAUUACUACAGGGCUCCCGAUGGAGUACCUGCUUAGCAGGUCCCAUUCUUGAUCCUCAGCACUGCGAAGAAAACACAGAAGAGAAAUAAAGGCUGCUGCGUAGUUUUGGAUCAGACAGAAAACAAAGGAAGGAACACCAGGAUGCAAUGAUGAUUUAAUUUGCAACAGAAUCGCCCGUUUUCCCUUUGAUUCCCACUUGGAUGUAACACUGGUACUGCAAAGCAUCCCUGAGGCCUUUCUCGCUGUGCCAAGAUGCACAUCUUCUGACAGAGCCAUGGCCUGAGGCUGCAAAGAUGGUGCUGGGGCCACG
rnacentral:lncRNA from 1 species